rnacentral:tRNA from 1 species
AGAAAGAUAGGUUAAUAAAACCGUUGAGCUGUGGAUUCAAAAAUGUAUCUGUACUCUUUUUC